rnacentral:rRNA from 1 species
GAUGAACGCUGGCGGCGUGCCUAAUACAUGCAAGUCGAGCGAACAGACGAGGAGCUUGCUCCUUCGACGUUAGCGGCGGACGGGUGAGUAACACGUAGGUAACCUACCUAUAAGACUGGGAUAACUUCGGGAAACCGGAGCUAAUACCGGAUAAUAUUUCGAACCGCAUGGUUCGAUAGUGAAAGAUGGCUUUGCUAUCACUUAUAGAUGGACCUGCGCCGUAUUAGCUAGUUGGUAAGGUAACGGCUUACCAAGGCAACGAUAUGUAGCCGACCUGAGAGGGUGAUCGGCCACACUGGAACUGAGACACGGUCCAGACUCCUACGGGAGGCAGCAGUAGGGAAUCUUCCGCAAUGGGCGAAAGCCUGACGGAGCAACGCCGCGUGAGUGAUGAAGGUCUUCGGAUCGUAAAACUCUGUUAUUAGGGAAGAACAAACGUGUAAGUAACUGUGCACGUCUUGACGUUACCUAAUCAGAAAGCCACGGCUAACUACGUG